CCAGGCGAGGCCACAACGUGCAGAAAAAUAGACCUGGGAGCCCAGAGCAGGGGGGCGAACGGAAAGUCUCNCCCCGGGGACCGGCUCGCCGGUGCCCUUCGAGGGCCCCCCACCUGCCCCAGGUGUGCCGCGCCCACGGCCGCGCCAGGCGAGGCCACAACGUGCAGAAAAAUAGACCUGGGAGCCCAGAGCAGGGGGGCGAACUGGGAAAGUCUCCGUGGGGGACGCGGCAGCCCCGCAGGGUCCUAAGGCUUUCAUCAGGCAGAAAGGAAGGGGCAAGUCACUUCUGGGGAGGGCACGGAGGGGUAAAUGGAGGACAGCGUUUAGGAGCUUCGAGGGCGGCUGCAGGGUGGGAUGGAGGGCGCCCGGGGGCUCAGGGACUGAGCGUCUGCCUUGGGCCCAGGGCGUGACCCCGCGGUCCCGGAUCGAGUCCCGCAUGGGGCUCCCUGCACCGAGCCCGCUUCUCCCUCUGCUUGUGGCUCUGCCUCUCUCUCUCUCUCUCUCUCUCUCUCUCUCGUGUGUGUGUCUCAUGAAUAAAUAAGAUCUUUUAAAAAGGAAAGGAAAUCACGGCUGGAAAGAUGGAACCAAACAGCAGAAGACUUUAAUGGUAUAGUCUUUUUUUUUUUAUUAUUUAUUUAUGUAGUCAUACAGAGAGAGAGGCAGAGACACAGGCAGAGGGAGAAGCAGGCUCCAUGCACCGGGAGCCCGACAUGGGACUCGAUCCCGGGUCUCCAGGAUCGCGCCCUGGGCCAAAGGCAGGCGCCAAACCGCUGCGCCACCCAGGGAUCCCAGCAGAAGACUUUAAAACCUGGUUAAAGUUCUUAGACGGGCCCGGCAUCAUGUGCAGGCAGCAUGUUCACAGGACCACAGGCUCAAAGCUACAGGGUCCGCCGGUCUCCUGUCCUGUACAAGAGCGUAACAGCAAACUGUGCCCUGUUAGGAAGAUGAAUGUGAUGAUAAAACAUGCUUUAAUAUACCUACUAAAGGGGCACCUGGGUGGCUCAGAUGGUUAAGCAUCUGCCUUCAGCUCGGGUUGUGAUCUCCAGGUCCUGAGAUCGAGCCCCAUGUCCGGCUCCUGGCUCAGCGGGAAGCUUGCUUAUCCCUCUGCCUCUGCCUCUCCCCCAGCUCAUGGUCUCUCUUUCUCUGUCUCAAAUGAAUAAAUAAAAAAUCUUAAAAAAAAAAAAUAUACCU
rnacentral:lncRNA from 1 species